UGGGGGAUAUUGCACAAUGGGCGAAAGCCUGAUGCAGCGACGCCGCGGGGGGGAUGAAGGCCUUCGGGUUGUAAACUUCUUUUGCUCUGAACAAGGCGCACCAUGGGGUGUGUUGAGUGUAGGGGUUGAUUAGCGCCGGCUAACUACGUGCCAGCAGCCGCGGUAAUACGUAGGGCGCGAGCGUUGUCCGGAAUUAUUGGGCGUAAAGGGCUUGUAGGUGGCUGGUUGCGUCUGUCGUGAAAGCUCAUGGCUUAACUGUGGGUUUGCGGUGGGUACGGGCUGGCUUGAGUGCAGUAGGGGAGGCUGGAAUUCCUGGUGUAGCGGUGGAAUGCGCAGAUAUCAGGAGGAAUACCGGUGGCGAAGGCGGGUCUCUGGGCUGUUACUGACACUGAGGAGCGAAAGCAUGGGGAGCGAACAGG
rnacentral:rRNA from 1 species